GCUAUCUCUAAUGGCUUUUAGUCCAUCUGUUAGUUUCUGUAAUUAUAUAUAUAUUUAUGUGUUUAUUUCUUAACUUCUAAUUAUCAAGCAGCAAAAUGAAUUUUUAAAAUAGUAAUAAUGAUGAUUCAUGGUUGACUGGUUGUGAUCAUCAUUUUUUUUUCAUCAACUGUGAUAAUUUAUUUCCAUAUUCUCAUGCAUAUAAGUAAUUUUUAAAUAAAAUCUUUCACCAAUAUUUCAUCUUUUUUUUUU
rnacentral:misc_RNA from 1 species